rnacentral:rRNA from 1 species
GACGAACGCUGGCGGCGUGCUUAACACAUGCAAGUCGAGCGGUAAGGCCCUUUCGGGGGUACACGAGCGGCGAACGGGUGAGUAACACGUGGGUGACCUGCCCUCAGCUCUGGGAUAAGCCUGGGAAACCGGGUCUAAUACCGGAUAUGACUCCAUGACGCAUGUUGUGGGGUGGAAAGCCUUGUGCGGCUGAGGAUGGGCCCGCGGCCUAUCAGCUUGUUGGUGGGGUGAUGGCCUACCAAGGCGACGACGGGUAGCCGGCCUGAGAGGGCGACCGGCCACACUGGGACUGAGACACGGCCCAGACUCCUACGGGAGGCAGCAGUGGGGAAUCUUGCGCAAUGGGCGAAAGCCUGACGCAGCGACGCCGCGUGGGGAAGAAGGCCUUAGGGUGUAACCUCUUCAGGUGGGACGAAGCCACUCGGGUGAAUAGCCCCAGAGGGUGACGGUACCGCCAGAAGAAGCCCGGCUAACUACGUGCCAGCCGCCGCGGU